rnacentral:rRNA from 1 species
UGGGGGAUAUUGCACAAUGGGGGAAACCCUGAUGCAGCAACGCCGCGUGAGGGAAGAAGGUUUUCGGAUUGUAAACCUCUGUCCUUGGUGACGAUAAUGACGGUAGCCAAGGAGGAAGCUCCGGCUAACUACGUGCCAGCAGCCGCGGUAAUACGUAGGGAGCGAGCGUUGUCCGGAUUUACUGGGUGUAAAGGGUGCGUAGGCGGCCAUGCAAGUCAGGUGUGAAAACCCGGGGCUUAACCCCGGGACUGCAUUUGAAACUGUGUGGCUUGAGUGAAGUAGAGGCAGGCGGAAUUCCCGGUGUAGCGGUGAAAUGCGUAGAGAUCGGGAGGAACACCAGUGGCGAAGGCGGCCUGCUGGGCUUUAACUGACGCUGAGGCACGAAAGCAUGGGUAGCAAACA